AGGCAGUACAUUGCUAGCUGGCUGU
rnacentral:ncRNA from 2 species